UGUGAGUUGAAUUGGUGGAAUCGGCUUCAACCAGGUCCUGCUGACAUGUUUGCUCCUAAUAAAUUCAUUAUAGGUUUUGAAGUUUGGCUCGAGGCUCAUGAUUUAAUUAGGGCAACUGCCGGAAUCCUGACACA